UUCCGGUAACGGCUAUAAAACUAAUUUUCAUUUUUUUUACCUAGAACUAUGUUUUUCGAUCUUGAUAAAAAGUGAAAACAAUCAAGGACCGAGCGGUAACCGUAACUUAAAAAUUUCCCUCAGUUCAUCCUCCUUGUUUUG